CCCAGUCUCUCUCUCUGCCUGCCUCCCGCACCUCUUCUCUCUCCUCUUUUGUUGCCUGUACUCUUCGUCGCGACGCUGCCUUGGCUGCUUUUCCCCCUCCCACUUGGGAGUUUGCAGCGUGGACGGCCGGUGAACACCGGGUUCCAGGAUUGGCUGUUGUGACUGAAUUGUCCCUAUCCACAUGAUGCAUGCCAGAGAUCCUAUUCCAGAGAACCUGUUCUGCAGGGUCAACUUAGAAAUUUGGGAAAACACAACACAUGGGACCAGAAGUUUGAGGACUUCACUGAAAUGAUUCUCCAUGCUUUGUACGACAUCUCUACAUAAGAAGAGAGAAAUCAUCACUCCAGUUUGAGACCCCCUCAUUCUUCCUCUUUGUUCCUUCUUCUACCCUCUUCAUAUCCCUGAUAAUAAAAAGUAAAAUGACAGAAAAAAAAGCAUGACAAAGGCAAACAAUACAUUAAGCGCACAACUGGAGUCACUAGGAUUAACCACUAAAAAUAUUGCACAGGGUAUACUCCUGCUAAAAACAAAUAUGUUGUUUAUCUGAAAUUAAAGUUGAACUUUAAUAUUUCAUCUGCAAGUCAACCACAAUCUACCUUGGUAGUGGUACAUGUAAAGCCAAAAGAACCUGAGAAGACAGAAAAAUAUGAGAGCAGGAGCAGAUUAAAGAACGCCUCACCAGAGGUCUUUGGGAAUGGACAAGGCAGGAAAGGGAAAGUAAGAGCAAAGACUGGAUGGAGCAACAGAGCUGUAAAGUCUUAGAAUGGCAUUUCCAGAGCUGGGCAGAGGGUAUCAUUACGGGUGCUUGUAGUUAGAGGUUAGGUGGUUUGCCUUUCUAGCCUUCCCCAACAGAACGCUGCAGUGUAGAACAGGUGUGUGCCUCUAGUCACCAGGGUCCCACAGAUGACCUCUGAAGAGAUACAACCCAGCUUCACUUUUAAGAACUUCAUAUUUGACCAAAGAGAAACUCUUAUCAAUAUCAAGGUCGUAAGCCAGUCCUUUUCUUGUGUUUUCAAGAGAUAUCAAAGAAGUUCAAUCCUCGAUACUCCACCACAAAGUCUAAAGUCAAGAAGUAAUGCAAAAUCUAAGGAACCUUCUUUAGAACACAUCAGACAGGGUUUUCUUCCUUUAUUCCAGACAAAUGGCCUGUGGCAGGGACAGCCUUCAUUUCUGUCCUACUCAUUCAUAUUAUUAUAAAUAACCACAGUCUCAACUGGAGAACUACCAGAGGUUGUUUUCUCUAACAAGUAGGUUCAUUUUUGUACAUACAAUUUUCCCCAAUAGCCUGAAUUUUCUACCAUUUUCCGUGUACACCAAAAAGCUGUAUUCUGUGCCUUACAAAAUAAUUGAGGUCUGAGAUGAGAGACUAGAAUGUGUUGGCAGGCCUGGCAGCAGAUGAAAGCUGAGCUUGGUAAGGGCUUUGAUGAGAAGGCUUUGUCGAUGGAAUGGACAAGAAGAGACCCACUCCUAAAUUUGCCCUGUGUUCCCAAAACAUUGUGGAAGUCCACCCUAAUGUUCAUAUUAUUUUGUAUAAUCUAUAACAUUACAUAUACUAUUACUGAGAGUUAAUAGUGACUCACAUGUCUGCUCUUUCAAAAUUAAUUGUGAUAUUAGCUACCGUGGGUACAUAAGAGAGAGGAAAACAGAAAAAGAGCUAGUUUUCAAAAGUAAAAAAAAAAAAAAAUCAUAAGACUUCCAGAUUACUCCUUGGAUGACAGCUCUCUGAUUCAUCUAGUAAUCAUUUUCUUUAACACCUCUUGUAUGCCCAGCUCUGUGGUUCCUGCAUUCUUUAUGAAAUGAUUAUUUAUUGUUCAAUACAGGGACUGGAGACAGAGUGGUAAUCAAUGCAAAGUCCCUCUCCUGGGUGAAGGGAGGGGACAGAGAAUACACAGUAAAUGAACAACAACAAAAAAAAAAAGAAAAGAAAAAAAAGAAAAUUUCAAAUCUUGACGAGUGAUAUGAAGAAACUUAAAGAGAGUUCUAGGACUAGUCAGGAGGUCAGGAGGGAUGGUAAGAGAGAACAGGUUAAAUUCGGUAUUUUGAAAAGGCCUCACUAAGGGCUGACAUACCAUAGAGAGCUGGAAACUGAAACAGAAUCAACCAAGAAAAUAAUGAGAAGACAUGAUUUUAUUAGUGUAUAAUCUAAUUCAAAUCAGUGACCAAUGUACGUAAAGGUAAAAUGUUUAAGUGCUGAAGGACUUUAGAAGAGAAAGAAAAGAUCAUCAGGCAGGGUUGUGGGGAGAAAAAUAGAAAAGGAAUACUUCAUAGGUCUGGAUUCUCCCCUCACUCCUACUUUGACCUGGAAUGGAUGUGGGUAAUGAAGGGAAGAGACAGGAUCAGAUAUGGGAGCAGAAUGAUCUGGACAUAGCCUCAUUGAUAGGCUUAAAGGUUCAUGUGAAAUGGCAGGGAAGACAGGGCCCAGGUACUAGGCGGCCCAGCAGGUGUUUGACACAUGUUCAGAAGCUUAGCAUGGGAAAGGGUGGUCAGGCACUUCAGCCCCUUGCUCUUCAAAAUGUGGUCCAAAGACCAACAGCAUUGGCAUCCCCUGGAAGCCUGUUAGAAAUGUGGAUUCAGGCUCCAUCCUAAACUGAGUCAGAAUCAGCUUUUUAGCAGUGUUUAAGUGUUUUGUGUGCCCAUAAAACUUUGAGAAAUGGAGUGACAGAACUUAGCUGAUCCCAGUCUUUGCUGUUCUGGCUGGCUUGGUGUGUGUGUGUGUGUAU